UCCACAAUUCAGCAGUUGAGUUCGCCGA
rnacentral:piRNA from 1 species